ensembl:lncRNA
UAUCUAUGGUCGGCACGUCUGGUAGCAUAUCUGGCUGCUGUUGACCUUGUUUUUGAAGUAAAACACGGUGGAAGCUGAAUUAGUGAGGAUGACUCCUGCUCCUGUCAUCUCUAAGCUCCUCACACAUCUUUACCUGCACAUGAGGAAAAUCACUCCUGUAGAAUGCAGUGGUUCAUCAGAACCUCUGGGGAUGUCCUGUGGAUUCUGUGGAUCCUGUGGGUUGCAGGGUGGGUCCUACCUAGACCAGGCUGAUCCUGGACCAUCCCACAGAUGCUCAAUCAGAUCUGGAUGUGGGGAGUGUGGAACCCAGAUGUUCAGAGGGAGAUGAUGCCACAUCUGGUCCAGCUGAUGGAAGGUCUUGAAGUUCUCUGACUGGCCUGGACUGAAGAUGGUCGUCUCACUGGAUUUAAGAUGCACAAUGAGGGACGUCUGCAGCGACUGAGAAAGAGUCUCACCACAUCCUGACAUGAGGAAAAGACUUUAUUGAAGACUACAAUGAGGAAAAUUAUCAGACAGCAGACGGCUGCAUUCAAGGCUACAGGAGGAGCCCUACGAGGACGAGCCGGUCCACCUGAUGGAGGCCAGUCGCUGCGGUUCAAAGCCAACACCGACUACGUGGACUUCUACUGGACCACACGGAGGCCUUCAAACCGGACCAACAAGUUCAGCGACUCCCCGACUCGUGGGUCUGAGGAUGCCGCCGAGCCUCGGUCCAGCCGGCCUCCUGUCUGUGGGUGUUUGAUUGCUGAGAGGUUUGUGGAUGCAUGUGAACGUGUCUGUGUUGAAACAGCAGCUUUUGACUCACUAACACCGGGAAAAACCAAGAGCUCCUUUAUUUGUGACUUCCACUAAAAAAAACUGAUGAAAAUAAGUUUGCCAGGGUUCUGACUGAUAUCAGAUUAUUAAAUAAUGAAAAUAAAAAUUUAAAUAUUCCUUUAAACAAUCCUUUUAGGUCUACGUUUCCUUGACACUGACUUCUUGGUAUUUUGGGUGGAAUAUACCAUUAAGCCCAAUGUUCAAGGGUUCUUCUGGGAAUAUACCAUUAAACCAACCUUUUAGGUACC